rnacentral:tRNA from 1 species
UCUUAGAUAACUAGGAUAGUGCCAGACUUUUAAUCUGGAAACGGCAUGUUGAUUAAAUUGCCUCUGAGAACC